AGAGCAUCAUUAGGUUCUUUAGGUACUUUUGAACCUGCGCAGGUCCGAUGAGUUUCGGGCCCAUUUCAAAAAAAAUUUUGAGAUGUCCCCCACGCA
rnacentral:sRNA from 2 species